ACGUCUCAGUUCGGAUUGCAGGCUGCAACUCGCCUGCAUGAAGUCGGAAUUGCUAGUAAUCGCAGAUCAGCAUGCUGCGGUGAAUACGUUUCCUGGUCUUGUACACACCGCCCGUCAAACCAUGAGAGUCGCCAACACCCGAAGUCCGCUUUGCGGCCUAAGGUGGGGGAGAUGAUUGGGGUUAAGUCGUAACAAGGUAUC
rnacentral:rRNA from 1 species